rnacentral:rRNA from 1 species
UACGAAGGGGGCGAGCGUUGUUCGGAUUUACUGGGCGUAAAGGGCGCGUAGGCGGCGCAAGAAGUCAGGCGUGAAAGCCCCGGGCUCAACCUGGGAAUUGCGCUUGGGACUCUUGGGCUCGAGUUCGGGAGAGGAGCGUGGAAUUCCCAGUGUAGAGGUGAAAUUCGUAGAUAUUGGGAAGAACACCGGUGGCGAAGGCGGCGCUCUGGACCGAGACUGACGCUGAGGCGCGAAAGCGUGGGGAGCAAACAGG